UCCCAGACUCCUACGGGAGGCAGCAGUGGGGAAUAUUGGACAAUGGGGGGAACCCUGAUCCAGCGACGCCGCGUGAGUGAAGAAGUAUUUCGGUAUGUAAAGCUCUAUCAGCAGGGAAGAAAGAAAUGACGGUACCUGACUAAGAAGCCCCGGCUAACUACGUGCCAGCAGCCGCGGUAAUACGUAGGGGGCAAGCGUUAUCCGGAUUUACUGGGUGUAAAGGGAGCGUAGACGGCGAUGCAAGUCUGAAGUGAAAGGCGGGGGCCCAACCCCCGGACUGCUUUGGAAACUGUAUAGCUGGAGUGCAGGAGAGGUAAGUGGAAUUCCUAGUGUAGCGGUGAAAUGCGUAGAUAUUAGGAGGAACACCAGUGGCGAAGGCGGCUCACUGGACUGUAACUGACGUUGAGGCUCGAAAGCGUGGGGAGCAAACAGGAUUAGAUACCCCUGUAGU
rnacentral:rRNA from 1 species